AUACGAAGGGCCCGAGCGUUAAUCGGAAUUACUGGGCGUAAAGCGCGCGUAGGCGGCUUGGUCAGUCGGAUGUGAAAGCCCCGGGCUUAACCUGGGAAUUGCAUUCGAUACUGCCUGACUAGAGUAUGGUAGAGGGAAGUGGAAUUUCCGGUGUAGCGGUGAAAUGCGUAGAUAUCGGAAGGAACACCAGUGGCGAAGGCGACUUCCUGGGCCAAUACUGACGCUAAGGUGCGAAAGCGUGGGGAGCAAACAGGAUUAGAAACCCCGGUAGUCC
rnacentral:rRNA from 1 species